rnacentral:rRNA from 1 species
UACAGAGGUGGCAAGCGUUGUUCGGAUUUACUGGGCGUAAAGGGCGCGUAGGCGGCCAGCACAAGUCAGUUGUGAAAUCUCCGAGCUUAACUCGGAACGGUCAACUGAUACUGUGCGGCUAGAGUGCAGAAGGGGCAACUGGAAUUCUUGGUGUAGCGGUGAAAUGCGUAGAUAUCAAGAGGAAUACCUGCGGCGAAGGCGGGUUGCUGGGCUGACACUGACGCUGAGGCGCGAAAGCUAGGGGAGCGAACGGG